GAUGAACGCUAGCGGCAGGCCUAAUACAUGCAAGUCGGACGGGAUUCAGGAGCUUGCUUCUGAUGAGAGUGGCGCACGGGUGCGUAACACGUAUGUAACCUACCUUUAUCAGGGGGAUAGCCUCUCGAAAGAGAGAUUAAGCCCGCAUAAAAUCACAGCACAGCAUUGUGUAAUGAUCAAAUAUUUAUAGGAUAAAGAUGGGCAUGCGGAACAUUAGCUAGAUGGCGGGGUAACGGCCCACCAUGGCGACGAUGUUUAGGGGAUCUGAGAGGAUGGCCCCCCACACUGGUACUGAGACACGGACCAGACUCCUACGGGAGGCAGCAGUACGGAAUAUUGGUCAAUGGGAGGAAGCCUGAACCAGCCAUGCCGCGUGCAGGAAGACGGCACUACGGGUUGUAAAUUGCUUUUAUACGGGAAUAAACCCAGAUACGUGUAUCUGGCUGAAUGUACUGUAAGAAUAAGGAUCGGCUAACUCCGUG
rnacentral:rRNA from 1 species